AAAAAAUUUAAAGUACCAUGGAGUGUUAUCUGCUGCGCCGACCCAUAUUUUAUUAGUAGAAUUUUUUUUAUUUUAAAUUUUGACCACUUUUAGAGGUUGCUCAAGUGCCUCAAAAGUCAUAUUUUCGUUUUUUUUACCCUUUUUUAAGUCCAUUUUUUGCACGUUUGAGCAAGUACUAAAACUCAAAAAAAUUAAUUUUUUCUAAGUUAGAAUAAAAAAUUAAAAAUGCAUGGUAAUUUUAUUUUAUUGAAAUAAUUUGUGUAAAUUUAUCUACAAAAACGCUAAGUUAUGCAGAUUUUCACAAGUUGUUGCGCUUCGCGUUAAUUUAAAAAUGUUGCAUAUUUGCUUAAACAUGUUAUGCAAAUUACUUUUUAACAAAAACAAAAUUUAAUUUUGAUUUAAAAAAAAGCCGGGAAAUCAAUAAUGAUUACUUUUAUGAUAUACUUACUCCAUAUACUUAUUAAAGCUUACUACAGAUUUAUUCAUGUCAGAAAAAAAUAAUAAAAAAGUUGACACACAUUUUUUGGUAGGGGAAUCCAGGUCAUCCUUACCAAAAGGCAAGUUUGCUUCAGAGCAAGAAGUUUUGCAAUAUUUCUUGCAUUUGAAGGAAAAGUACCCAAAACAAAAAGAAAGUAGAAUUAUCCACUGUCCAUUGACAUAAAAUCAGCUGAAAUAAUGAAAAAUAUAUUUGCUGUACUCUUUCAAAGUUAAUUACACCUUGGAUGAAGGGUGGAUUUUAGAUUUUACAAUUACAAACAAUUAGGUAAGUACCAGACUUUAUAUGUUUUUCUUUUAUUUAUACUUUAUUGAUUAUUAGAGGAAAAUAUUAAUAUAACUAAUGUCUGCUGUUAAAUAAGUGAAUAAACAGAAAUAGGUGUGUUGUAAAAUAUACAUUUUUUAGUAUAAAGAUAGAGAAGCUGAUCCGAACCUGGAAACUGUUAAAAAAACAAACAAAGCAAGGCAAACUUUAUCAGAGAUUAAAAAAAAGGAGGAGUUUUUUAACUCAGAUGAAAAGGAUCUUUUGGAUUGCAUCUGAGCUCGAUACUUUGGUUGCAAUCAUUAAAGCUGAUUGGAAAUGAAAGGAUCAAGACAAGACUGAAGAUAUUGCAUUUUUAUUGGACCAAUUAGGAGAUAGAAAAACUAGAAUAGGUGGAAUCGAUACAAGGUACCUUAACUCUGUAAACAGGGGUUUAUCCAAAAUUAAAAAGAAAUCAAAUUUGCACGAAACUAUGUCAGAGAGUGAAUUCAGCUCAAAUGGAUCGGAGAAAGAUGAAGAUAAUGAUGAUUUUCCAUACCUAGAUCCAGAGUUAAAGAAAAAAGUCAAAAAAGCUAAUACUUUUAUGCUUCCAAAAGAUAUUCUCAAGAGAACUGCUGAUACUGCUGUUGGGGAAGGAAUAAGUCAUAGGAAGCAUGCUUCCAUAGUUAAUAGUAUAAUCGCUAAAUCGGGUGGAAAUGUAGCUGAUUUUAAAUGUUUAACCUCUACAGCAUUACACGCUGUAAAUAAGGUCAUUCAUGAUGAAUCUAAGAGGGUCAAGGAUGAUUUGAGAAGUUUUAGAAAAAUCAAUAAGAAUAUUUUAGUUCAACUCCAUUUUGAUGGAAAAGUAUGUCAUGAAUAUACUGAUGGGAAAAAAUUGGAACAAGAUCGAUUAGCAAUAUUAAUAAACGGUAACAAGGAAACGCACCUGUUGGGAAUUCUACCAAUUUCUUCUGGAACUGGCGAAAAUAAAAAAAAUGCAAUCAGAGAUAUCUUAAAUAGCUUUAACCUUACAGGCAAUAUACAAGCUGUUACAUUUGAUACCAGAAUCAACACUGGAAACAAAAAUGGGGCUGUGUCUUCACUGGUAAAUGAAGUCUUUCAACGACAAGUUCUAUCUAUUGCAUCCCGACAUCAUGUCAAUGAGCUGCACAUAACACAUUUCUGGAAAAAUAUCAAAGUAGCAUUACUUCUGGACCAGAUAAUCUGCUGUUUAAAACUUUAAAAUCAGCAUGCAAUGAUCUUGACGCAGACAACCAGGUUUUGAAAAAAUUGACUAUUCCAGAGGAACAUGGCUUGGUCAUGAAAAGCAUGAAAGCAUAAUGUUCUGCAGAAAUAUUAUCACCAGUGGGUCUCUAAAAAAGGAUGGGGCUACAAGGAAGGACUACAUUGAGCUGGCAGAGCUUACACUUAUGGUGCUUUCUGAGGACAGGUACAAAUUUUGUACUCCCGGAGCAGUUCACCAUGCCCGCUUUAUGGCAUAAAGUAAAGAAUUGUAGGUUCAUGAUAAGAAAAGGUAUCUACUACCUAAAACUCCAACUUAUGAUGGAUGCUAUACCUAAUCUGGAAAAACGGCUGAAGCAUGAAAUUACUGAAGUGGUAACUUUUGUCUCUGUUUUCUUUACUACCUGGUUUCUCAAAGCUGAACUAUCAAGGUACCAACUUAAAAAGAUAUGAAAGCACUUUGGCAAAUGAAUAGGUUUAAGGAGUACAAUUUGAUUGGGGCAGAAUCAGUCAUUGAAUCUCUCAAACGCCACACAUGGUUUCUGGACCCUUACCUUAUUGUACUAGCCCUAGCUGAUGAAAAAUGUAAAGAAAGAGGUGAUAUUGCUCAAAAACUAUACAGCUAUGAAUUUCAUAGUAUGGAUGAAUAUCCUUAAGCCCGAAUAAGUGCUAACAUAGAGGUCCUCAAUUCUUUAUACUUCAGUGGAUCGAAGCCUCCCAGCUUAGUUCAUUUGGUAAAAUUAACUGUCAAUGGAUGAAAACCCCUCCAGAAUAUUGGACUUGCAACAAUUUCUACUUAAAAUUUCAGGAGGCAGUUUUUAAUCUUUCAGUUGUUAAUGAUUGCUCUGAAAGAACCGUUAAACUCAUAAAAGACAAAAUUGAUAUUGCCCGAAAA